GAGAUAUUAGUAAAAUUCAUUACAACCCCUUGUCAAGGGGACAUCACUAGUUAAAAUCUUGUAUAUCUCUA
rnacentral:tRNA from 1 species